rnacentral:lncRNA from 1 species
UUUUUUUUUUCUUUUUUAUUAGGACAGACCAUUUCAGUUAUUGUGGAAAUCACAGCCAUUAUGACCCAAUUCUUCAAAAACUGUAGAGACUCCUGAGAUACUAUGCCAUUAGAAAGCAUUUUCUGUGAGGUAGACACAAAUUCUAUUACAUUAAUUUUACAGCUCUCAGUCAGAGUCUCAGGCAGUGCAAGGAAUAAACAAAGACAGAGACAAAAAUCUCUUCCUCUGGAACAUUAUUUUCAUUGAUGCAUUUUGGUUUACUUUAUACGCGAAAUAUAUUCACUGCAUUCAGCUGUAAAUCUGUCCACAGUUUUGCUAGUACACCAAAUAAUUAUAAUAUUUUCUUUGUGAAACACUGAUUUUAGAUACAGUUUACACUCAUUAAAUAUACUUAACAAGUACUUUGGUUAUAUCUUUAUGCCCUCUCUUGGGCCUUUUUAUUGCUUAUCAAUAAACUAAGCAUUCAAUUGAGCCAACAGCUGAUUUGGGUAUCCCCUUUUUUGUUAGACAUAGUUACCACCAGAGUUUAAUAAAAAAUGAAGAUUUAGAAUUUUCUUUAUCAGAAAGAAACAAGUUGUCACUAAUCAAGCCCUGCCAUAGGCUUCCACUGGACUUCAGUUUUUAAAUAAGUUCAUCUGCCGCACCAGAAAAAAACCUGCAAAAAUGAAUCAGUGGUUUUAUAUAAUUGAAUAAAAGGCCUAAAAUUUAUUCCUUCUAUUAAUUUUCUGCUUGGGACCUUUCAAAAUGUUUCCUUUCUUACAGUGUCUACUCAGUGAUGCAGGAGAGACCACAUCUAGUUUUUCCCUUUACUUUCUGUCUCUUCCCCCAUGCCUCAUAAAAACUAAAGACCUCAGGAAGUGGGGAAAAAAGAGAAAUAUUUAUACUGACAUUUUAGAAGGAAUAUCAUAUCAAGUCUACAUUUGAAGAAAAAAAAUUGUUAAUAUGUGACCUGUGAACAUAUAAUUUUCAUUUUCUCUAUAGCAAAGUUAACAAAAACUUUUGCCUUCCAUUGCUUAAAAAUAUUUUCAGCAGAUUGUAAGCAAAUCAUGUUAAACAUAUGAUCUAAAUCUGAAUUUUCUUGUACCACUAGAGAAUUCAAGCCAACUAUCUACUUGUGGCUUUGGGUUUCCAGUUAAGCGAUUCAGCAAGCAAGCCUUAUGAUUAUGUCCAUUUUUAGAAAUGGUGUGGAUAGAUUUUCCAGUAUCAAAACUCCAAGCAAAAGAAGAAAAAGUGACAUUUCAUUAAAUUUGCUUUCAGCAGCAAAACUUGGCUUUUGCUCUUGGCAUAACUGUUUCUGGAAACAUUUAGAUUAUAACCAGGCUUCAUACUAAUAUUAAAAGCCCAGAUAACAGGAAAAUAGGGUCUAUGUAGAACAAAAAAUACACUGAAGCACAAAGGUUUGUAAGAAUUAGUCUACUCACACAUGUUAGAUGUGAGAACGCCAGCUAUGUAUUUAGCUUCUGUCUCAUGAUUUUCUAGCAAGAGUAUUGGGAAAUGUAACCAAUCCCUCAAAACAAACUGUUUCAUGUUUUGUUAUGAAGUUUCCAAGCAAGGAGUUUGUCGUGACAAUUACUACAUAUCUUUGGGCUUUUUGCUUUGAAAAGUCUCUUCAUACUCAAAUCAAGGUGUACUUUUCAUAAUGGCACCUCAUUAUUCUUAAUUAUACCUUAGUGGUCUAUGCAUUUGGCAUGCAAGCCUUUGUUGCAUCUACUAAAUCAAUUUGCUUGUUAUGUUCAGCCAUACUGGGAUUCUUUUCGCAAUGCCUUUUAUUCUUUCCUUCGAGGGCAUCAUCCCUCACUUGUAAAUCUUUAUUCUCUGAACUUGGCUCUUGCAAAUGAACAUCUUCCUACUAAUGUGAUAUUCAGAUAAGAAUGCCAGAUCCCAGAUCCUCUUACAUGAAUUUGAUGUUUUGAUAUUUCUUUGAAGCUGAAAUAAUUGUCUUAUUGCAAUAUAACAAAAA